GCUAAUUUACCAUGCUAUUAUUUAUACACAUACAAAAGAAAACUAUACAAAACCUACAAAAAACGGAAAAUUGAUAUGCAUCAGCAUAAUGAAGAGACGUUAAAAAGGUAUGAAGAAAUGGACGGUGAAGUGAUAUACCUAGGUGAAGGAAUCCAAGUUGGAAUGAAGUCGUGGCGCAUGACUAAAAAAAAAAGAAAUACACCUGUUUCUUAAGGGAUAUAGGAGGCUACUUAUGGAAGAAGCAUCAGCUCCCAAUGCGAUGCCUUGAUAUGUCGAAAACCAAAAACGUGUUGCCUGAAGGUUUGUAUGAAGAUUACCUAAAAGAGAACAAAAAGUAUAUAAACACUUGUCCGAUGACGACAGAGACAUAAUGAUCAAAAACUCAACAGAAAUUCUCACUAGUUUGAUUAGAGAUGAAAGGGGUCAGUUCAUUAAAAAAAAAAUACGUUUUUUUUCUUUUUAGUUUUAGUUUAGUUUUAUUCUAACAAAAUUUUAGUUUCACUUAAUGAAAAGGAUCUCUA